GCCGGGAUGGCGGAACUGGCAGACGCGCAUGGUUGAGGGCCAUGUGAGGCGACUCAUCCGGGUUCAAGUCCCGGUCCCGGCACCA
rnacentral:tRNA from 1 species